rnacentral:rRNA from 1 species
CGACGAGUUUGAUCCUGGCUCAGAUUGAACGCUGGCGGAAUGCUUUACACAUGCAAGUCGAACGGUAGAGGGGGCAACCCCUUGAGAGUGGCGAACGGGUGAGUAAUAUAUCGGAACGUGCCCAGUCGUGGGGGAUAACGUAGCGAAAGUUACGCUAAUACCGCAUACGAUCUAAGGAUGAAAGCGGGGGUAUCGCAAGACCUCGCGCGACUGGAGCGGCCGAUAUCAGAUUAGGUAGUUGGUAGGG